rnacentral:tRNA from 1 species
GAGGGCGUAGCUCAGUGGUAGAGUGUGUGCUUAGCAUGCACGAGGUCCUGGGUUCAGUCCCCAGUCCCUCCA